GGUCUGGUGGUGUAGUUGGAAACAUACCCUUUCUGCAUAUCUAGGCUCUUUAAGAUUAGUCAGAGGAAGUCUCUUGUUCGAAUCAAGGUCAGGCUG